GGGAUUAUAGCUCAGUGGUAGAGCACUUGCCUAGCAUGUGUGAAGCACUGGGUUCAAUUCUCAGUACUA
rnacentral:tRNA from 1 species